rnacentral:rRNA from 1 species
GUCUUUUUGUGUACCAUAAAAAGUCGUGCCUUCCCAGUGGGUUUUAACCUAAACGGAUGCGGUAAAUCGUGCUAAGGUAGCUAAAUUAUGGCCCAUUAAUUGUGGGUCUUGCGAACGGCUUGACGAGUUCCCUACUGUCUCGAAGUUGUUUUGGUGAACUUGAAUUGGAUGUGUAAAUGCUUCCAUGAGUGAGAAAGACGAGAAGACCCCGUGAAGUUAGAAAUUUUUUAUCUAGUGUGAAUUUUCAGUUUUUUUUGAGUUUGCAGAUGUAAGUUGAGAUCUUGAGAGUUGAAAAAUAUGGUUUUAUUGUUUUGGCUGGGGCAGCAAGAAGGCAAAACUAGACCUUCUUUAUUAAAAAACGGGUGCGUUACGACCCAUAGUUUUGAAAGGAAUGAUUAUCAGAAGAAGUUACUCCGGGGAUAACAGCGUUAUCCGUCCUGAUAGUCCUUAUAGAUGGGCGGGUUUGCGACCUCGAUGUUGGCUCUGGUUAUCCUGAGGCUUGCAGGAGGUCUCGAGGGUUGGUUUGUUCGCCCAUUAAAAUCCG